CUCCCUCUGCAUAAGGUGCAAUGUGGAGUGCACAAGGCUGAUUUAAUUCCUUCUUUUAAUGGCCGUGGAAGGAUGAGAAUUAUUGCCUGUCUUACUAACACCUCCUUCUAAGGAAAACUGGCUUAUCUGCAGGUAGCUAUCUUGGGAAACUCGUGACCCCAAUUCCCUGUGACAGUCCAUUGAACCAGCAUGGUCAUCUGACCCAUGUACAGUCGAUCUUUUGAUUUGUUCACAACCUUUGACACAUGACCUUGGCCAAU
rnacentral:lncRNA from 10 species